rfam:Brachypodium distachyon strain Bd21 chromosome 1, whole genome shotgun sequence.
UGAGUACUCCCUCCGUCACAUAUUAAGUGACUUUCUAUUACAUGUAUCUAGACGUUUUUUAGUCAUAGACACAUCCAUAUUGGGGCAAAUUUGAGUCACUUAAUAUGGGACGGAGGGAGUAGCAC